AGCGUUUUGGACCCACCUGACUCCAUGCCGAACUCAGUAGUGAAACGAAACAGCGCCGAUGAUAGUGUAGCAUUUGCUAUGUGAAAGUAGGAC
rnacentral:rRNA from 1 species